rnacentral:rRNA from 1 species
GACGGAGGGUGCAAGCGUUGUUCGGAAUCACUGGGCGUAAAGCGCGUGUAGGCGGUUUGUUAAGUCGGUUGUGAAAGCCCGAGGCUCAACUUCGGAAGUGCAGUCGAAACUGGCAGGCUUGAGUACGGGAGAGGGAAGUGGAAUUCCUGGUGUAGAGGUGAAAUUCGUAGAUAUCAGGAGGAACACCGGUGGCGAAGGCGGCUUCCUGGACCGAUACUGACGCUGAGACGCGAAAGCGUGGGGAGCAAACAGG